rnacentral:rRNA from 1 species
AUUGAACGCUGGCGGCAGGCCUAACACAUGCAAGUCGAGCGGAUGAAGGGAGCUUGCUCCUGGAUUCAGCGGCGGACGGGUGAGUAAUGCCUAGGAAUCUGCCUGGUAGUGGGGGAUAAGGUCCGGAAACGGGCGCUAAUACCGCAUACGUCCUGAGGGAGAAAGUGGGGGAUCUUCGGACCUCACGCUAUCAGAUGAGCCUAGGUCGGAUUAGCUAGUUGGUGGGGUAAAGGCCUACCAAGGCGACGAUCCGUAACUGGUCUGAGAGGAUGAUCAGUCACACUGGAACUGAGACGCGGUCCAGACUCCUACGGGAGGCAGCAGUGGGGAAUAUUGGCCAAUGGGCGAAAGCCUGAUCCAGCCAUGCCGCGUGUGUGAAGAAGGUCUUCGGAUUGUAAAGCACUUUAAGUUGGGAGGAAGGGCAGUAAGUUAAUACCUUGCUGUUUUGACGGUACCAACAGAAUAAGCACCGGCUAACUUCGUG